rnacentral:rRNA from 1 species
CAAUAGCGUAUAUUAAAGUUGUUGCGGUUAAAAAGCUCGUAGUUGGAGUUCUGCCAGGUGACGCUCGUCCGCCCAAGUGGUGUGUACAGGGCGUGCAUCUGGCCCUUUCAAGGGGAACGUGUCUGCUCUUUAUUGAGUGGUGCGAGAUCCUUGACUUUUACUUUGAGGAAAUCAGAGUGUUCCAAGCAGGCUCUCGUCGUGUAUAGCUCAGCAUGGAAUAAUAGCAUUGGACUUCGUUUCUAAGCUGUUGGUUGCAAGAAGCGAGGUAAUGAUGAAGAGGGAUAGGUUGGGGGCGAUUCGUAUUUAACUGUCAGAGGUGAAAUUCAUUGAUUAAUUAAAGAACUAACUUAUGCGAAGACAUUUGCCAAGGAUUGUUUUCUAUUAAUUACAAGAAACGAAAGGUUAAGGGUAGUACAAAGACGAUCAGAUACCAU